rnacentral:rRNA from 1 species
UGAGGAAUAUUGGUCAAUGGGCGAGAGCCUGAACCAGCCAAGUAGCGUGCAGGAUGACGGCCCUAUGGGUUGUAAACUGCUUUUAUGUGGGGAUAAAGUGCGUGACGUGUCAUGCAUUGCAGGUACCACAUGAAUAAGGACCGGCUAAUUCCGUGCCAGCAGCCGCGGUAAUACGGAAGGUCCGGGCGUUAUCCGGAUUUAUUGGGUUUAAAGGGAGCGUAGGCUGUCUAUUAAGCGUGUUGUGAAAUUUACCGUCUCAACCGGUGACUUGCAGCGCGAACUGGUCGACUUGAGUAUGCAGGAAGUAGGCGGAAUUCAUGGUGUAGCGGUGAAAUGCUUAGAUAUCAUGACGAACUCCGAUUGCGCAGGCAGCUUACUGUAGCAUAACUGACGCUGAUGCUCGAAAGUGCGGGUAUCAAACAGG